rnacentral:tRNA from 1 species
UCCCUUGUGGCUCAGUUGGUAAAGAAUCUGCCUGCAAUGCAGGAGACCCCGGUUUGAUUCCUGGGUUGGGAA